rnacentral:rRNA from 1 species
AACGAACGCUGGCGGCAUGCCUAACACAUGCAAGUCGAACGAGACCUUCGGGUUUAGUGGCGCACGGGUGCGUAACGCGUGGGAACCUGCCCUUAGGUUCGGAAUAACUCCCCGAAAGGGGUGCUAAUACCGGAUAAUGUCUUCGGACCAAAGAUUUAUCGCCUUUGGAUGGGCCCGCGUUGGAUUAGCUAGUUGGUAGGGUAAAAGCCUAUCAAGGCGACGAUCCAUAGCUGGUCUGAGAGGAUGGUCAGCCACACUGGGACUGGGACACGGCCCAGACUCCUACGGGAGGCAGCAGUGGGGAAUAUUGGACAAUGGGCGAAAGCCUGAUCCAGCAAUGCCGCGGGAGUGAUGAAGGCCUUAGGGUUGUAAAGCUCUUUUACCCGGGAUGAUAAUGACAGUACCGGGAGAAUAAGCUCCGGCUAACUCCGUG